GACGAACGCUGGCGGCGUGCUUAACACAUGCAAGUCGAACGGAAAGGCCCUGCUUUUGUGGGGUGCUCGAGUGGCGAACGGGUGAGUAACACGUGAGUAACCUGCCCUUGACUUUGGGAUAACUUCAGGAAACUGGGGCUAAUACCGGAUAGGAGCUCCUGCUGCAUGGUGGGGGUUGGAAAGUUUCGGCGGUUGGGGAUGUACUCGCGGCUUAUCAGCUUGUUGGUGGGGUAGUGGCGUACCAAGGCUUUGACGGGUAGCCGGCCUGAGAGGGUGACCGGCCACAUUGGGACUGAGAUACGGCCCAGACUCCUACGGGAGGCAGCAGUGGGGAAUAUUGCACAAUGGGCGGAAGCCUGAUGCAGCAACGCCGCGUGCGGGAUGACGGCCUUCGGGUUGUAAACCGCUUUCGCCUGUGACGAAGCGUGAGUGACGGUAAUGGGUAAAGAAGCACCGGCUAACUACGUG
rnacentral:rRNA from 1 species